UACGUAGGGGGCAAGCGUUGUCCGGAUUUAUUGGGCGUAAAGCGCACGCAGGCGGUCUGCCAAGUUCGGAGUGACAGUUUCCGGCUUAACCGGAAAAGGUCUUCGAAAACUGGUGGACUUGAGGACUUGAGGGGGAGACGGAAUUCCUGGUGUAGCGGUGAAAUGCGCAGAUAUCAGGAGGAACACCGGUGGCGAAGGCGGAUCUCUGGGCCAUUACUGACGCUGAGGAGCGAAAGCGUGGGGAGCGAACAGG
rnacentral:rRNA from 1 species